rnacentral:rRNA from 1 species
GAUGAACGCUGGCGGCGUGCCUAAUACAUGCAAGUAGAACGCUGAAGGAGGAGCUUGCUCUUCUGGAUGAGUUGCGAACGGGUGAGUAACGCGUAGGUAACCUGCCUGGUAGCGGGGGAUAACUAUUGGAAACGAUAGCUAAUACCGCAUGACAACAGUUAUUGCAUGAUAACUGUUUAAAAGGGGCAACUGCUCCACUACCAGAUGGACCUGCGUUGUAUUAGCUAGUUGGUGAGGUAACGGCUCACCAAGGCGACGAUACAUAGCCGACCUGAGAGGGUGAUCGGCCACACUGGGACUGAGACACGGCCCAGACGCCUACGGGAGGCAGCAGUAGGGAAUCUUCGGCAAUGGACGGAAGUCUGACCGAGCAACGCCGCGGGAGUGAAGAAGGUUGUCGGAUCGUAAAGCUCUGUUGUAAGAGAAGAACGAGUGUGAGAGUGGAAAGUUCACACUGUGACGGUAGCUUACCAGAAAGGGACGGCUAACUACGUG